rnacentral:tRNA from 1 species
GCUAUAGCUCAGUUGGAUAGAGCGACCGCCUCCUAAGCGGUAGGCCGGAGGUUCAAUUCCUCUUAGC